rnacentral:tRNA from 1 species
GGAGGGGUGCCCGAGUGGUUAAAGGGGGCAGACUGUAAAUCUGUUGCCAAACGGCUACGAAGGUUCAAAUCCUUCUCCCUCCA